rnacentral:rRNA from 1 species
GGUCUUAUAAAGUUCUGGAUAAAGCUUAUUAUGAAAACUUUAUAUCCAUAGGUCUCGACCAAAUCUUGUGCCAGCAGUCGCGGUAAGACAAGGGAGACGAGUGUUAUUCAUCUUUAACAGGUAUAUAGGGUACCUAGACGGUGUGCAAUGGCUUAAAUAAGUACCUGGUACACUUGAGUUUGAUAUGUGAGAGGAAUAUGUCGGAAUUGUUGGAGGAAAGAUGAAAUUUGUUAAUACCAAUAGGACUGAUAACGGCGAAGGCAAACCUCUAUGUACAUGUACUUGCUAUUUCUGUUUUUAUUAUAGCAAAAUAGCAAUGUACUAUAACUGACGUUGAGGGACGAAGGCUCAGAGAGUGAAGAGGAUUAGAUACCCCCGUAACCUGGGCAGACAAUGAUGAGUGCCAUAGGUUGGCUUUAAGGCGGAACUAUAAAUGAAAGUGGAAGCACUCCACCUCAAGAGUAAUGUUGCAA